GACGAACGCUGGCGGCGUGCCUAAUACAUGCAAGUCGAGCGGGCCUCCGGAGGUGCUUGCACCUCCGGAAGGCCAGCGGCGGACGGGUGAGUAACACGUGGGCAACCUGCCUUUGAGGCCGGGAUAACACCGGGAAACCGGUGCUAAUACCGGAUACGUCCUCUUUCGCGCCUGCGAGAGGGGAGAAAGACGGUCUUUAAGGCCGUCGCUCAAAGAGGGGCCCGCGGCGCAUUAGCUGGUUGGUGGGGUAAGGGCCUACGAAGGCGACGAUGCGUUGCCGACCGGGGAGGGUGAUCGGCCCAACUGGGACUGAGACACGGCCCAGACUCCUGCGGGAGGCAGCAGUAGGGAAUCGUCCGCAAUGGGCGAAAGCCUGACGGUGCAACGCCGCGUGAGUGAGGAAGGUUUUCGGAUCGUAAAGCUCUGUUGUGAGGGAAGAACAGCUUCCGGAGGAAAUGCCGGAGGUUUGCCGGUACCUCACCAGAAAGCCCCGGCUAACUACGUGCCAGCCGCCGCAGUAA
rnacentral:rRNA from 1 species